rnacentral:rRNA from 1 species
AUGUUGAGGAGGAGACAAUACAAGCUGGAAGGUAAUGUGUACACCUGCCUGCUUUGUGACUCGCCCCCGGAGGAAACGGUGACCCACCUGUUCUUCAAAUGCCCAUUUGCAACUGAGUGUUGGGCUGCGAUUGGGAUGCACUGGCCUGAUUCUCGAUGCAGGCUGGAUCUCAUCCAUGGGGGAAAAAGAUCCUGGGGGGGACCUUUAUUCAUAGAAACCUUCAUCAUAGCAGCUUGGGGGGUAUGGAAAGAGAGGAAUAAUAAACAUUUUAGGAAUGUGAUGCCAUCAAUGGAGUCCUGGAGGGGCAGGUUCAAAAAUGAUAUGUCCAUGAUGGUACACCGCACCAGAAACUCUCUCCACCACUUCAUCAGAGGAUUGGUGGCCGCUAUCUGA